CUUUUAUUUGUUUGGUAAGUGUGGGUGAAAUAUUUACAACUGAUGUCACUCCUUUAUUCACUGAAAUAUAACACGGAACUAGAAAACUGGUGGAGGGAGGGAGCGCUGGUGGAGGGAGGGUAGAGGAAGGGAGUGGAGGGUGCAGAGUGUCAGGAAGAGGAAGAGCGAGAAUGUUGCAGGGAAAGUACUGGUCUGUGCUGCGUGUGGGAAGUGACUUUAGUGGCGGCGUGAAGGCGAGGACACGAGUGAGGUGCUGGCAGGCUGACUGAGGACGGUGACCUCAAGACUUAGAAACACUUAACGUAACCUGACGGGGGGGAACACCUUCUUUCUCCCGCAACGCAAUGGACCAACACGAAUAGCUGGAGGUCGGGGGACAGGCGCGCGCGAAGGCAGACGGCGACAGAUUCGUGACUCAAAACAAAAGCAUCGUGACAGCACAAGUGGGAGCGUCCGUCAUUCUUCACUGCAAGACCUCAAGUGCGACUGGCGGCCUGAUUUUUUUAAGAAUACGCUGCUCUGAGGCAAGCACUGAGAAACCAGGAAUGUCAUGGCCUCCAAUACGAUGACUGGUGAGGUAAACAAGUUAUGUCACUCGUGAUGGCGCAGGCGGCGAGUGGAGGCGAGGCUGCCCACCGCCAUCCUCUGAGUGGCAUUAGUGCAGGAGUCCUUGUCUCAUCAGCCUCGGCCUCCACAAACACGGGCUGCUUUAACACUUGUGAAUACAAGGCAAAAAACAUGGUGACUCGAGCAACUUUUCUGUGUCUUGGAUCAGGAAGAGGGACUACCAGCUCCUGACGGUGAGUCUGCACACACACUCCAGUGACGACCGCUUCUCCAUCAACUACUUGCAUUGGACACACACAACCACCACCAGUACCCAGGCAUCACCAUGCAGCGUCACACUCAAAACAGCAGCAUCACAUUUGAACAGCCCAUGGUGAGGAAUUAAAGCAAGAGGGAAUAUUGCGUAAUAAUUUGCAACAGGAACCGAAUUCUUGAGUAAUGAAAGAUGAGGCUACAAGAAGAAGCAGAGGAAAUUCCGAAAUGGACGUCGGUGUGUGUUUUUCCAUCUUAUUUCACCAUUUUAUCCUCAGGAAAUCUCUGCUGGGGAGACUGGUCACUUGAUAGCAACAAGAACUGACGUCAGUUGACCAAGACACCACUAGGAAUUGACAUUAGCUGACCAAGACAGGACCAGAAAUUGACACCCACUUGCCACAAUAUCACUGUGAAGAACAUGCGAGCACUUGGGAGUUGCUUCCAUCAUGGGAGUGUCCCUCAAGAGUAGGAGCCACCCCUCUCACUGACCUGAGUCACCUGACCCUAUCAGAUUGACACAGAAGAGUGAAGGACUGCCUGCUGCCUUGAUGCAAGAAAGUUUAGGCUGCCAUCUCACUCCUGCAUUGACAGCUGAUUUGUGCUGAAGCCCACCAGUCCAGUCAAGCCAGGAGGGACCAGGUGAUCAGUGCUGAGGAGUGGAGAGUGGGCUGGCAGGAAUUAGAAGCUUUAAGAGGUUCUGAAGAAGAGAUGAAGUGGAAGAUGAACCUGGGGGCUGUCAGCUUUGUGGAAUCCUGGUAAAAUUGGAGGAUGAACUCCGCUGCCUGUCAAAUCCGUCCUGAAGUGAAGUGCUCUGACUGAAUUGGGCCUUCCGUCAUCACAGUUGAAGAGAACCCAGCUCUGUCUGAACCCUGCCUGUCAGUUGCUAAACAUUGCAGAAGAUGGAGCCGUGGGUGAACCAAAGCCAUACGUGAACCCGGCAAGAAAGUGGUGUUGCUGUCCUGAGGCUCAGGAGCACCAAUUCACUGUCCACCCUCCUUCAUCAUGGAAAGAUGUGUAUGAACAAAGAAAUUACUUGAUGAAAAAUAAAACUCACUGUAAUUUGUCAAAUUUAAUAAUUGUAUUGUGAAAAAAAAAAUAAAUUUGCUUAAUAAUUA